rnacentral:piRNA from 1 species
CCAAAUGGCUAUGGGAGGUAAGGACUUA